AGCAGUCGCCGCGGUAAUACGGAGGGUGCAAGCGUUAAUCGGAAUUACUGGGCGUAAAGCGCACGCAGGCGGUUUGUUAAGUCAGAUGUGAAAUCCCCGAGCUUAACUUGGGAACUGCAUUUGAAACUGGCAGGCUAGAGUCUUGUAGAGGGGGGUAGAAUUCCAGGUGUAGCGGUGAAAUGCGUAGAGAUCUGGAGGAAUACCGGUGGCGAAGGCGGCCCCCUGGACAAAGACUGACGCUCAGGCGCGAAAGCGUGGGGAGCAAACAGGAUUAGAUACCCCUGUAGUCCCUGUCUCUUAUAC
rnacentral:rRNA from 1 species